AACGAACGCUGGCGGCAGGCCUAACACAUGCAAGUCGAGCGAGGACUUCGGUCCUAGCGGCGGACGGGGGAGUAACGCGUGGGAACGUGCCCUUUGCUUCGGAAUAGCCCUGGGAAACUGGGAGUAAUACCGGAUGAGCCCUUUGGGGGAAAGAUUUAUCGGCGAAGGAUCGGCCCGCGUUGGAUUCGGUAGUUGGUGGGGUAAUGGCCUACUAAGCCGACGAUCCAUAGCUGGUUUGAGAGGAUGGUCAGCCACACUGGGACUGAGACACGGCCCAGACUCCUACGGGAGGCAGCAGUGGGGAAUCUUAGACAAUGGGGGAAACCCUGAUCUAGCCAUGCCGCGUGAGCGAUGAAGGCCUUAGGGUUGUAAAGCUCUUUCAGCUGGGAAGAUAAUGACGGUACCAGCAGAAGAAGCCCCGGCUAACUCCGUG
rnacentral:rRNA from 1 species